GACAGAGGAUGCAAGCGUUGUUCGGAAUCACUGGGCGUAAAACGCACGUAGGCGGAUUUUUAAGUCAGGGGUGAAAUCCCGAGGCUCAACCUCGGAACUGCCUUUGAUACUGGAGAUCUUGAGUCCGGAAGAGGUAAGUGGAACUGCGAGUGUAGAGGUGAAAUUCGUAGAUAUUCGCAAGAACACCGGUGGCGAAGGCGGGUCUCUGGGCCGUAACUGACGCUGAGGAGCGAAAGCAUGGGGAGCGAACAGG
rnacentral:rRNA from 1 species